AGUGAACGCUGGCGGUAGGCCUAACACAUGCAAGUCGAACGGCAGCACAGAGGAGCUUGCUCCUUGGGUGGCGAGUGGCGGACGGGUGAGGAAUACAUCGGAAUCUACUCUGUCGCGGGGGAUAACGUAGGGAAACUUACGCUAAUACCGCAUACGACCUACGGGUGAAAGCAGGGGAUCUUCGGACCUUGCGCGAUUGAAUGAGCCGAUGUCGGAUUAGCUAGUUGGCGGGGUAAAGGCCCACCAAGGCGACGAUCCGUAGCUGGUCUGAGAAGAUGAUCAGCCACACUGGAACUGAGACACGGUCCAGACUCCUACGGGAGGCAGCAGUGGGGAAUAUUGGACAAUGGGCGCAAGCCUGAUCCAGCCAUACCGCGUGGGUGAAGAAGGCCUUCGGGUUGUAAAGCCCUUUUGUUGGGAAAGAAAUCCAGCCGGCUAAUACCUGGUUGGGAUGACGGUACCCAAAGAAUAAGCACCGGCUAACUUCGUG
rnacentral:rRNA from 1 species